AGUGUAGUUCAAUGGUCAAGAUAUGAGAUAUGAUUAAAAAAGAAGAAUUAUCAGUAAUGGAAAAUCAAAUAAAAAGGUUUAGAGAAGUCUAUAGUAGAUCCAAUGUGAUAAAAUUGGUAAAAAAGAGGUUAUAAUAGGUUCUAAAAAGACUUUUCUGGUUGUUUAAUUAGGGAAAAAACAUAAAUGGAAAGAUAAAAGUGAUGUUGAUAUUGUAUAAGGAAGAUUAAUUGGAAAAAAAUUUUGUAAAACAGCCUAAAAAUAAAAGGUGAUUUCGCGAGACAAGGAUUAUUCUAACGAGAAUACCGGCAAUUUGAAAUAUUAUAUAGAGAAAACUUUUCUUAGUUUAUUUAAAUAUACAUACAUCAUCAAUCCGAUAUCUCCCAAAUAUGUUUACCAUUGUAUUGGAAAACACAUUCAAAUAAUUAUCAUGGGAAUAAAAGGGGAUGGAUUCUACUUUAGAAAACUGCACUUUGAAGACUAUAUAGUAAUAGUUUUGAGUGAUAUUGAUGAGUAAUGUUGAAAGAACUCAAGAGGUCAGUAAAGAACGUUGGGUUAACGCGGAACAUGAGCAACAUAACUGAUACAAUAACAAAUGUAAUCAUAUAACAUCCUGGUAUUAAAAAUGUCAAUGAGUGUAUCACAAGAUAAAUUUGGGAAAAGAAAACCAGACUACCGAAAUGAAAACAAGAAUUGACUUAAUUUUUCGCAGUAUUUGAUAAGCUUUGUCAUAUCCUAAAGGACAUAAUCAUCUUAAGUAACAUAAAAAGGAAAGUAUAUGAAUCAUGUAUACUUCCCAUAGUAUCACAAGGGAGCUAUAACCGGUUAACAAUAAUUUUUCAGUUCAAUCUGGUUUUUCUCGGCGAGCCCCCACAUGGCUAAGGAAGCUCGGCCCGGAUUAUAAUGAAUUUUUUAUAAGGACUUCCAGGAUAAACACACAAACUCAUGAAUCCAGGAAACCGAGUGAAUUUUGCCUCAAAUGCAUUGAAAUCGAAUUAACUUAACUUAAAUGUAACAUAUCCACUGUUUUUGAUUAACUCCAAUAGUCUCAUAAGGGAUCUAUAUCCGGUUUACAAUAAUUUAACCAGUUUAAUCUGGUUUUUCUCGCUCUUAUAAGGGCUUCCAGGAUAAGCACACAAACUCAGGAAACCAAGUGAUUUUUGUCUCAAAUGCGUGGAAAUUGAAUAUACCUAACCUAACUUAAACCAACCUAAUCCAUAAGAUGAAUCUAACACGCCCUCUGUUUUUAUUAGCUCCCAUAGUCUCAUAAGGGAGCUAUAACCGGUUAAUAACAAUUUAACCAGUUCUAUCUGGUUUUUCUAGGCAAGUGCUCGCUUUUUUGCGUCCCCACAUGGAUGAGGGAGCUCGGUUCAGAUUCUAGUAGUAACUAUAAAAAUCUUUUAAGUGUAAUGAACACUGAAUAUAAGCUAGGCGAAUAUUUGGACCACUAAUCUCCCAUUGGUGCAGAGUUCGUUUAGCGACCACCAGCGUUACUCCGAUGUCCUCGAAAGUCAAGUUUUUCGACUUCGGGUAGAAUCACUCCGCGAUCCAGAGCCGUGAAUUUCGCGACGAGGUAAGUGACGACCUCGAAAGUAGUGAAAAUGUCUUUUCGGGCGAAACGCGAACAGAUAAUUCCUAAAGCUAAUUAUAAAGGAUCCCAGGAUAAACACAAAAACUUUAGCGUCCCAAAAGUCGUUUAAUCGUUUCUAGACCUCCCUAAUUCAGUUAGAGCCGCGAAUUUUGCGGCCUGGUAAGCGAAGUCCUCGAAAAUAUUGAAAGUAUCUUCAGACGAAACUUGAACAAAUAGUACCUAGAGCACAUUAUACAGCAUCCCAGGAUAAAUACCCAAACUCAAGCUCCCCAUGGUAGGUGAUGUAGAAUAUGAGCUAAAAAAUUAACAUUUUUCUAGACUUACUUGCA